rnacentral:misc_RNA from 1 species
UGGCUGGUCGAGAGUGGACGCGA